rnacentral:lncRNA from 1 species
GUCCCUAACUUUUUUUCUUAGUGUGUUUAACACUACAAACAUAUGUUUGAAUUUCAUACAAAUAAAAUUAAUUACUUUCUUUAAAGUGCCUGAAGAGCCCAAGAAAGUGGUUUCAGAAGAAAAAAUACACGUUGCAGUUCCUAAAAAAGCAGAACCUCCGCCACCUAAAGAACCUGAGAUGCCGAAGAAAGUUGUUCCAGAAAAGAAAAUACCUGUGCCUAAAAUACCAGAACCUGAGGUUGUGCCUAAAGAACAAGAACCUGUGGUUGUCCCAGAACCAGAGGCUGCACCUGAAGAACCAGAACCUCUACCAGAGAAAGUGGCCAAGACAACUUUGCCAGAAAAGAAAGUAGCUGUUCCAG